AUUGGACGCUGGCGGCAUGCUUUACACAUGCAAGUCGAACGGCAGCGCGGGCUUCGGCCUGGCGGCGAGUGGCGAACGGGUGAGUAAUACAUCGGAACGUGCCCAGUAGUGGGGGAUAGCUCGGCGAAAGCCGGAUUAAUACCGCAUACGACCUGAGGGUGAAAGCGGGGGAUCUUCGGACCUCGCGCUAUUGGAGCGGCCGAUGGCAGAUUAGCUAGUUGGUGGGGUAAAGGCCUACCAAGGCGACGAUCUGUAGCUGGUCUGAGAGGACGACCAGCCACACUGGGACUGAGACACGGCCCAGACUCCUACGGGAGGCAGCAGUGGGGAAUUUUGGACAAUGGGAGAAAGCCUGAUCCAGCAAUGCCGCGUGUGUGAUGAAGGCCUUCGGGUUGUAAAGCACUUUUGGCGGGAACGAAAAGGACUGUGCCAAUACCACGGUUCGAUGACGGUACCCGCAGAAUAAGCACCGGCUAACUACGUG
rnacentral:rRNA from 1 species